UACAGAGGCCCCAAGCAUUAUCCGGAAUCAUUGGGCGUAAAGGGUGUCAAGGCGGUUAUGUUAGUCGUUCGUUAAAUCCGGUGGCUCAACCUCCGGCCUGCGAGCGAAACGGCAUAACUAGAGGGUGGGAGAGGUGUGUGGAACUCACGGUGUAGGGGUGAAAUCCGUUGAUAUCGUGGGGAACACCAAAGGCGAAGGCAGCACACUGGCCCAUUCCUGACGCUCACACACGAAAGCCAGGGUAGCGAACGGG
rnacentral:rRNA from 1 species